UACGUAGGGUGCAAGCGUUAAUCGGAAUUACUGGGCGUAAAGCGUGCGCAGGCGGUUUUGUAAGUUUGUCGUGAAAUCCCCGGGCUCAACCUGGGAAUUGCGAUGAAGACUGCAAGGCUAGAAUCUGGCAGAGGGGGGUAGAAUUCCACGUGUAGCAGUGAAAUGCGUAGAGAUGUGGAGGAACACCGAUGGCGAAGGCAGCCCCCUGGGUCAAGAUUGACGCUCAUGCACCGAAAGGCGUGGGGAGCAAACAGGAUUA
rnacentral:rRNA from 1 species